rnacentral:rRNA from 1 species
UACGUAGGGGGCAAGCGUUAUCCGGAUUCACUGGGCGUAAAGGGAGCGCAGGCGGCACGGCAAGUCUGGUGUGAAAGCCCGGGGCCCAACCCCGGGACUGCAUUGGAAACUGCCGGGCUGGAGUGCCGGAGGGGUAAGCGGAAUUCCUGGUGUAGCGGUGAAAUGUGCAGAUAUCAGGAAGAACACCGGUGGCGUAGGCGGCUUACUGGACGGCAACUGACGCUGAGGCUCGAAAGCGUGGGGAGCAAACAGG